rnacentral:rRNA from 1 species
GAUCUGGCUCAGGAUGAACGCUAGCUACAGGCUUAACACAUGCAAGUCGAGGGGAAACGACAUCGAAAGCUUGCUUUUGAUGGGCGUCGACCGGCGCACGGGUGAGUAACGCGUAUCCAACCUGCCCACCACUUGGGGAUAACCUUGCGAAAGUAAGACUAAUACCCAAUGACAUCCCACGAAGACAUCUGAAUGGGAUUAAAGAUUUAUCGGUGAUGGAUGGGGAUGCGUCUGAUUAG